AUGGAAACCCAGCAUGUUCAGAAGCGGUUAUCAGCAGAGAGGUUUCUAGUUCGCAUCAGUUUCAAACAUUUCCCAACGUUGCUGGAUUCUCCGCUGGAAUCAUUCUGCCAGUAUUUUUACUGGCGCUGCUCGCAUUUGCCGGUCAUAGGUACCGAAACAGACUAAAGAGCAGAGUAGACCAUCUCUAUGCCAUACAGAAAUUAAUCCCCAAGCAUGUCGUCAUGUACUAUGAUCGGCCGCGGUAGUCAGUACAUUUAGAGAAUAUCUGCCUGGGUGUGGGACAGUACGGGCAGGUGUACAGAGGAACCUUAUCAGAUGGUGUUGUCUCGAGGUCAUUCUACAAAGCAAGUAGGCGACGUGUGGUGGCAGUCAAAAUCAUGCACAGAACACUGCGUUGUAGCAAUCGAAGAACCGAAGACUUUUUGAGAGAAAUGAGUGUUCUCAUGAAAG